rnacentral:rRNA from 1 species
GCCAGACUCCUACGGGAGGCAGCAGUGAGGAAUAUUGGUCAAUGGGCUUACGCCUGAACCAGCCAAGUCGCGUGAGGGAAGACUGCCCUAUGGGUUGUAAACCUCUUUUGUCAGGGAGCAAUUGGCGCUACGUGUAGCGUUAUCGAGAGUACCUGAAGAAAAAGCAUCGGCUAACUCCGUGCCAGCAGCCGCGGUAAUACGGAGGAUGCGAGCGUUAUCCGGAUUUAUUGGGUUUAAAGGGUGCGCAGGCGGUCUGUUAAGUCAGCGGUCAAAUCGCGGGGCUCAACCCCGCCCAGCCGUCGGAACUGCCGGGCUAGAGUGGGCGAGAAGUGCGCGGAAUGCGUGGUGUAGCGGUGAAAUGCAUAGAUAUCACGCAGAACUCCGAUUGCGAAGGCAGCGCACCGGCGCCCUACUGACGCUCAGGCACGAAAGCGUGGGGAUCGAACAGGAUUAGAUACCCCAGUACCG